GUUAUAUGGUCAAGCGACUAUGCGCACAUGGUGGAUGCCUAGGCGGUAGAAGGCGAUGAAGGACGUAGUAGCCUGCGAUAAGCCUCGGGGAGCUGGCAAACAAGCUUUGAUCCGGGGGUGUCCGAAUGGGGAAACCCGGCCACUUCGGUGGUCAUCGUGCACUGAAUUCAUAGGUGUACGAAGCGAACCCGGGGAACUGAAACAUCUCAGUACCCGGAGGAAAAGAAAUCAACCGAGAUUCCCUCAGUAGCGGCGAGCGAACGGGGAGCAGCCCAGUCGCCAUAAUCCAGUGGAACCUAGCAGAACGGUCUGGAAAGUCCGGCCAUAGCAGGUGAUAGCCCUGUAUGCGAAAGGUGAAGCUGGUGGGUGACGAAGAGUAGGGCGGGCCACGUGGAAGCCCGUUUGAAGAUGGGGGGACCAUCCUCCAAGGCUAAAUACUCUCUACCGACCGAUAGUGAACCAGUACCGUGAGGGAAAGGCGAAAAGAACCCCGGAGAGGGGAGUGAAAUAGAUCCUGAAACCGUGUGCGUACAAGCAGUGGGAGCCCACUUCGGUGGGUGACCGCGUACCUUUUGUAUAAUGGGUCAGCGAGUUACUUUCAGCGGCAAGCUUAACCGUCUAGGGGAGGCGUAGGGAAACCGAGUCUUAAUAGGGCGUUGAGUCGUUGGGAGUAGACCCGAAACCGGUCGAGCUAGCCAUGGCCAGGGUGAAGGUAGGGUAAAACCUGCUGGAGGCCCGAACCUGUUACUGUUGCAAAAGUAUAGGAUGAGCUGUGGUUAGGAGUGAAAGGCUAAACAAGGCCGGAGAUAGCUGGUUCUCCUCGAAAGCUAUUGAGGUAGCGCCUCGCGUAUAACUCCUGGGGGUAGAGCACUGUUUAGGCUAGGGGGCCAUCCCGGCUUACCAACCCUAUGCAAACUCCGAAUACCAGGAAGUUCGAGCGCGGGAGGCACACGGCGGGUGCUAACGUCCGUCGUGAAGAGGGAAACAACCCAGACCGCCAGCUAAGGUCCCAAAAUUACAGCUAAGUGGGAAACGAUGUGGGAAGGCAUAGACAGCCAGGAGGUUGGCUUAGAAGCAGCCAUCCUUUAAAGAAAGCGUAAUAGCUCACUGGUCUAGUCGGCCUGCGCGGAAGAUUUAGCGGGGCUCAAGCUGUAUACCGAAGCUGCGGAUUCGCAUCCGAAAGGAUGUGAGUGGUAGAGGAGCGUUCUGUAAGCCUGCGAAGGUGUGUCGUGAGGCAUGCUGGAGGCAUCAGAAGUGCGAAUGCUGACAUGAGUAACGAUAAUGCGGGUGAAAAACCCGCACGCCGUAAACCCAAGGUUUCCUGCGCAACGUUAAUCGGCGCAGGGUGAGUCGGCUCCUAAGGCGAGACCGAAAGGUGUAGUCGAUGGAAAGCAGGUUAAUAUUCCUGCACCUCGGACUGCUGCGAUGGGGGGACGGAGAAGGUUAGGCAUACCGGGUGUUGGAUGUCCCGGGGAAAGCAAGUAGGCAGGGCCCUUAGGCAAAUCCGGGGGCUCAAUGCCGAGAUGCGAGACCACUGGCCUUGUGCCGGGAAGUUGCUGAUACCACGCUCCCAGGAAAAGCCCCUAAGCUUCAGGUAGUCCAGGCCGUACCGUAAUCCGACACUGGUGGGUGAGGAGAGAAUCCUAAGGCGCUUGAGAGAACUCGGGUGAAGGAACUAGGCAAAUUUGUACCGUAACUUCGGGAGAAGGUACGCCUCUGCCGGUGAAGAGACUUGCUCUCGUAGCCAGCAGGGGUCGCAGAGAAAUGGUGGCUGCGACUGUUUAACAAAAACACAGCACUCUGCAAACUCGCAAGAGGAAGUAUAGGGUGUGACGCCUGCCCGGUGCCGGAAGGUUAAUUGAUGAGGUUAGCCGCAAGGCGAAGCUUCUGAUCGAAGCCCCGGUAAACGGCGGCCGUAACUAUAACGGUCCUAAGGUAGCGAAAUUCCUUGUCGGGUAAGUUCCGACCUGCACGAAUGGCGUAACGAUAGCCACGCUGUCUCCACCCGAGACUCAGUGAAGUUGAAAUCGCUGUGAAGAUGCAGUGUACCCGCGGCAAGACGGAAAGACCCCGUGAACCUUUACUACAGCUUUACGCUGGACUUCGAACCUUUCUGUGUAGGAUAGGUGGGAGGCUUUGAAGCGCGGACGCCAGUUCGCGUGGAGCCAACGUUGAAAUACCACCCUGGAAUGUUUGAGGUUCUAACCUGGGCCCGUUAUCCGGGCUGGGGACAAUGUAUGGUGGGUAGUUUGACUGGGGCGGUCUCCUCCUAAAGAGUAACGGAGGAGCACAAAGGUACCCUCAGCGCGGUCGGACAUCGCGCGUUGCGUGCAAAGGCAUAAGGGUGCUUGACUGCAAGACAGACAAGUCGAGCAGGAGCGAAAGCUGGUCUUAGUGAUCCGGUGGUUCUGUAUGGAAGGGCCAUCGCUCAACGAAUAAAAGGUACUCCGGGGAUAACAGGCUUAUUCCUCCCAAGAGUCCACAUCGACGGAGGAGUUUGGCACCUCGAUGUCGGCUCAUCACAUCCUGGGGCUGUAGCAGGUCCCAAGGGUAUGGCUGUUCGCCAUUUAAAGUGGUACGCGAGCUGGGUUCAGAACGUCGUGAGACAGUUCGGUCCCUAUCUGCCGUGGGCGUUGGAAAUUUGAGGGGAGCUGUCCUUAGUACGAGAGGACCGGGAUGGACGCACCUCUGGUGUUCCGGUUGUCACGCCAGUGGCACUGCCGGGUAGCUAUGUGCGGACGGGAUAACCGCUGAAAGCAUCUAAGCGGGAAACCCUCCCCAAGAUUAGAUUUCCCCAGGGACUUGAUCCCUCUGAAGGGCCCUCGAAGACUACGAGGUUGAUAGGUCGGGUGUGUAAGCCCAGUAAUGGGUUCAGCUAACCGAUACUAAUUGCCCGUGCGGCUUGGCCAUAUAACACCCAAGCAG
rnacentral:rRNA from 1 species